GGGGAAUAUUGCACAAUGGGGGAAACCCUGAUGCAGCGACGCCGCGUGAGUGAAGAAGUAUUUCGGUAUGUAAAGCUCUAUCAGCAGGGACGAUAAUGACGGUACCUGACUAAGAAGCCCCGGCUAACUACGUGCCAGCAGCCGCGGUAAUACGUAGGGGGCAAGCGUUAUCCGGAUUUACUGGGUGUAAAGGGAGCGUAGACGGUGUGGUAAGUCAGGUGUGAAAGCCCGGGGCUCAACCCCGGGAUUGCACUUGAAACUAUCAUGCUAGAGUGCAGGAGAGGUAAGUGGAAUUCCUAGUGUAGCGGUGAAAUGCGUAGAUAUUAGGAGGAACACCAGUGGCGAAGGCGGCUUACUGGACUGUAACUGACGUUGAGGCUCGAAAGCGUGGGGAGCAAAC
rnacentral:rRNA from 1 species